rnacentral:lncRNA from 1 species
UGCUACGUCCGACCAUGGGCCGGACAACGGAUAUUCGACUUGUCGUCGUUAUCCUAUCCGGAUACGUUGGAUGCUACUCGACUAUUGGAUACGUCGGACGCUACUCGACUAUCGGACUCUACGAAAUGAUCGUGUCGACAUGCUACGUUCGGAGGUUGGCCGACAUCCGACCCGACGUGCACGCUCGACCUACAGUCGGGAUAACUCUCGACCAUCGGAUCCUAUGCAACCUGUACGACAGUCAGGACGCCAAC